AAAGUCUGACCUGCCCAAUGAAUUAAUAUUUAAAUGGCCGCGGUAUAAUGACCGUGCAAAGGUAGCAUAAUAAUUAGUUUUUUAAUUGAGAACUGGUAUGAAUGGUCGAAUGAGAAAAUAACUGUCUCAAUUUAAAUUUAAUUAGAAUUUUAUAUUUAAGUAAAAAAGCUUAAAUAAUAUUAAAAGACGAGAAGACCCUAUAGAGUUUUAUAUAAUAUAUUGAAUAAAUUUUUUAGAAUUAUAUUAAUUUAUUAAAUAAUUUAUAUUUGGUUGGGGUGACUAAAAAAUUAAAAUAACUUUUUUAUAAUAAUUUCAUUAAUUUAUGUUUAUUUGAUCCA
rnacentral:rRNA from 1 species